GGCAGAGUUAUAAAAAUGGCUUGCUCUUGUCUUCUUCUGGGAUGUUUCUACAAUUUCCACUAUCAUCCACAAUGCUGGAAUCCCCAGGUGUCAAGCAUGCAGAGAAACAUGGACCAAACCAGCAAAUAGUCCUUGUGUCACUAGCUGUCAAUGCAUGCUGAAAAAUGGGACUGAGUCCUGAAUGAAGCACAAGGGAAUAUUCUGUCUGGAAAACCUGAAUUGCUCUUUUGUGGAAUCUCAUGGCCAACAGUUAUGUACAAAGCAGAGACAACUCUAACUAUAUACUGUACUUUGCAUUUAUACCAUCUAUAUGUGCUAGUAUAAAUAGCACAAUAGCUCACCAGAAUAAGGAAAGUUAAAUCAUAUGCAAAUGUUUCUGGAUGCCAGAAGAUAAACAUGUUCAAAUCCAAAGGCUAAACACAAUUCCACAGUAGAAAAUGGUUUUAGGAGUUAGCAACCCUCUGUUAAGUACUUAUUUGCAAAAGCAAAGCUAAACUUAGUAAGAACAUACUUGUUUCCUUUUCAUUUAGUAUUUUAAUUGAGAUUGUUCAAGUCUAGUGCUACAUCAGCUUUAUUAUAUUUAAUCUGCAAAGCCAAAAUUCACCAUUGAUAAUUCAGAAGAAAAAUUAAUUAGAAAUCCAAAUACAAUGAACUGGUAAAGGGAAGAUUGAAAUUUAGAUCCUGUUUCAAUACUCAGUUUCAAUUUCUGUUUUCACUGAGUAAACUCAUUAUUCUAAAGUACUCUCCAAGAAUUAAGAAAAGCUCUAAAUGAAAUAGCUGUUCCUCGGUGGUUUUAAAUUUCUAAAGUUUAGGUCAUGGCUGCUAAAGUUCACUCUGAACA